UACAAGGGGUGCAAACGUUGCUCGGAAUCAUUGGGCGUAAAGCGCACGUAGGCGGUCUGUUAUGUCGGAUGUGAAAGCCCUUGGCUCAACUGAGGAAGUGCAUCCGAAACUGGCAGGCUAGAGUACGAAAGAGGAUCGCGGAAUUCCCGGUGUAGAGGUGAAAUUCGUAGAUAUCGCUUGGAACGCCGAAGGUGAAAACAGGCUGCUGGGGUUGCGCCGACGCUGAGACACGAAAGCCAGGGGAGCAAACGGG
rnacentral:rRNA from 1 species